rnacentral:piRNA from 1 species
UCUGUGUUCUUGAUUCUGGUCCU